GAGAGCCGGAUGCGCCCAAAGGCGCAAGUCCGGUUCGGAGAAGAGCUCGGGCGUCAAACUGCUCCUUGCGGGGUGGGUCGGUCCGGGCUUAUUCUAC
rnacentral:ncRNA from 1 species